UGUUUCGGGAACCGGUGCUUCUGAUUGGGGGCGGCUGGGAAGCUCUUGGCCGUUGAUUGGCUGUCUGCCUGCGGCCCCGCCCCCGCGCUUCUUUCCCUACAGCGGGCCGGAGCCCGCCCUGGCCGGUUUAUGGCCCUGUGCGGGUAGCGCCGUCUGACCGGUCGUGUAGACACCGGUACGACCGAGCCCGGGGCCGCCGCUACCCGGAGCCGCUGCGGCCCUUUAAGGCUCCAGUUGGUUCUCCCGGAAGCCGCCUGACCAACAUUAGUGAUGGCAAUGUCAGCAGUGCAGUUGACCAGUCUUGUACAGAUGCCCCCACAAAUACUGUGGUAACUGAUGUGACCUGCAUGGCAGGAUUGCAUAAAGAAAUCAUUAGAAGUUCUAACCAGUAUAGUAUGAAGAUUAAACUGCCACUAAUCAAGACAGGAAGGAAUGCAGCCAAUCAGUAGUUUAUCGGGAUCUAAAGGGAAGUGAGAGAAACAGAAAAAAAAGAUCAUGCAUAGAAGAACAGUUAUGUCCAUGGAUCAUAAACCGUGAAAUAGACCAUAAAA